rnacentral:lncRNA from 1 species
UUUCGUGAUCCUGAAGCUUUUUAUACUGCUGUUUCUAUUUUAGGCUAAUAGAAAUGAAAUUCAAGACCCAAAAGUUCGAAAGUUGAUCUAUGGUCCUUCUAAAGAAGUGCGAUGUUACAAUGGUUAUAUACUGAAUGGUUAUCGAUUUCACACUAGUGCUUAUGGGCAGAAUAAGAGGACAAAUAAUAGUGCUGUUUGUGUUCGGGGGAACAGUUAUAAUGAAAAUGAA